UACGAAGGGGGCUAGCGUUGCUCGGAGUGACUUGGCGUAAAGGGCGCGUAGGCGGAUUGCUUUGUCAGACGUGAAAUUCCAGGGCUCAACCUUGGGGCUGCGUUUGAGACGGGUGAUCUUGAGUUCGGAAGAGGGUCGUGGAAUUCCCAGUGUAGAGGUGAAAUUCGUAGAUAUUGGGAAGAACACCGGUGGCGAAGGCGGCGACCUGGUCCGAGACUGACGCUGAGGCGCGAAAGCGUGGGGAGCAAACAGA
rnacentral:rRNA from 1 species